UUGUAAUGUUAAAGAAGAGUAGAAAAAGAAAAGGGAAAAAUGGGAUAAAUCACACUACUCCAUUUGUGACAUUUUAAUAGCGGAGAUCGAUCUUUAGUGAAUGUAAAAACAUGGCUUCGAAAUUGUGGGCGACAAGGCUCGCUUCAUCCCUUCAAUUCUCCGCUCAAAAAAGAGGCUUUGCGACUGUGAGGGAUGAUCUGAAGUGUGGCUCAUCUCUUGAAUAGGUGAAAGUUGAAGGUAAUUGUGUUGCUAUAGGCAUUAGUGAUCAUGCCCUACACCAUUUGGGCAAUGUCAUAUUUGUCCAACUACCCGACGAGGGAGCUCAACUAAGACAGGGAACGAGUUUUGCUACUGUCGAAAGCAUGAAAUCAACGAGCGAUGUCAACUCUCCCAUCUCGGGUAGAGUGGUUGAGAUGAACGCGAGCCCUUAUGAGAAGGGAUGGAUCGUGAAGGUGGAGAUGGCCAACGGAGAAGAAGUCAAAACCUUGAUGGAUGAUCAUCUACAGCCAUUGAUGGCUGCAUAGAGUCAAGAUCAAGCUAAUAUGAAAGUGAAGAAGGCGUUGCCUUAGUUAUCUAUUCAUUUGAUUUAAAAGAAAAAUCAACCACAAAAGCUACAUACAAACACCAAUGUUUAGGUUUAGGUAUUUUAUUUUCUAAUCCAAUAUUGCUAAGAUAAAUUAGACGUA